rnacentral:rRNA from 1 species
CCUACGGGUGGCAGCAGUGAGGAAUAUUGGUCAAUGGUCGGGAGACUGAACCAGCCAAGCCGCGUGCAGGAUGAAGGUACAGAGUAUCGUAAACUUCUUUUGUCAGGGAACAAAGGCGGGGACGUGUACCCGGAUGAGUGUAUCGGACGAAAAAGCAUCGGCUAACUCCGUGCCAGCAGCCGCGGUAAUACGGAGGAUGCGAGCGUUAUCCGGAUUUAUUGGGUUUAAAGGGUGCGUAGGCGGUCCGAUAAGUCAGAGGGGAAAUCCCGGGGCUCAACCCCGGCACCGCCGUUGAUACGGGCGGGCUAGAGUUGAGUUGAGGUAGGCGGAAUGCACGGUGUAGCGGUGAAAUGCAUAGAGAUCGUACAGAACACCGAUUGCGAAGGCAGCAUGCCAA